rnacentral:rRNA from 1 species
UGUGGCGACUAUUGCGCAGGGGCGCACCUCUUCCCAUUCCGAACAGAGAAGUUAAGCCCUGCCGCGCCGAUGAUACUGCAUCAGUGUGGGAAAGUAGGUCGUCGCCCACC